UCCCUCGACCGUCGUAUGUAAGUACGUUUUCGACCUCGGGUAGACGAGGGAGACAGGUGGUGCAUGGUUGUCGUCAGCUCGUGUCGUGAGAUGUUGGGUUAAGUCCCGCAACGAGCGCAACCCCUACGUUUAGUUGCUAACGUGUAACGAUGAGCACUCUAGGCGGACUGCCGUUGACAAAACGGAGGAAGGUGGGAUGACGUCAAAUCAUCAUGCCCCUUAUGUUCUGGGCUACACACGUGCUACAAUGGCCGGUACAAAGGGACGCAAAGCCGCGAGGUGGAGCAAAUCCGAUAAAGCCGGUCUCAGUUCGGAUUGCAGGCUGCAAUUCGCCUGCAUGAAGUCGGAAUCGCUAGUAAUCGCAGGUCAGCAUACUGCGGUCGAAUACGUUCCCGGGCCUU
rnacentral:rRNA from 1 species